UUUUUUUUUUCUGGUGGGGGUGACAAGAGUCGUGCUUUGUUGCCCAGGCUGGAGUGUAGUGGCGUGAUCUCGGCUCACUGCAACCUCUGCCUCCCAGGUUCAAGUGAUUCUCCCGCCUUAGCCUCCCAAGUAUCUGGGAUUACAGGUUCGUACCACCAUGCCUGGCUAACUUUUUGUAUUUUCAGUAGAGAUGGGGUUUUGCCAUGUUGGCCAGGCUAGUCUCAAACUCCUGGCCUCAAGUGAUCCUCCCACCUUGGCCUCCCAAAGUGCUGGGAUUACAGGCGUGAGCCACUGUGCCCGACUGCUUUCUAGUACAUCUCUUAAAUGUCCUAUGAAACUUCACCUGGAAUGGGAUUUGCUGGGAAUUAAUUUUAUAGACAAGGGAAGGAUGCAGUCUUGUUAGAUAUGGUGACUUAAAGAUCAUCUUAAAGGAUUUAGGUUUUCUUAUAUUGCCAAAAACCACGUGGGUUUAAAUCCUCAAUACUGGUAGGGGCUGGGCAUGGUGGCUCACACCUGUAAUCCCACCACACUCAGCUGAGUUUUGGAGUUUUGUUUUUUGUAGAGAUGGGGUCUCACUGUCUUGUCCAGGCUGCGGAGGCAGGAGGAUCACUUGAGCCCAGGAGUUCAAGACUAACCUGGACAAGUCAGACCCCAUCUCUACAAAAAACAAAACCCCAAAAUUCAGCUGAGUGUGUGGUGCACGCUUGUAGUCCUAGCUGCUUGGGAGACUGAUGUGAGAGGUUUGCUUGAGCCCAGGAGUUGGAGGCCACAGUGAGCUAUGACUGAGCCAUUGCACUCCAGCCUGCACAACAAAGCAAGACCCUCUGUCAAAAUAAAAAAGAACUAUAGAAGCACUCGUGCUUGGGGUAACUAUUAGCAUGUGCUGGCAGAGAAGGUCUAGUGCCUUCACCUUGGUGCUAAGAGUCCCUCCAGAGAGUGCUUUCCCCGUGCCCUUUCUCUUCUCUGGGCUGCUAAUGCCUUCCUUCCCCAUAUUAGUAAUAUUACUGAUAAACAAAUUGUGCAUUCUGUGAUCUCACUUCAGAGACUGUUUCUGUGCAUUGAAGAUGUACAUACAGUCUUAAUUCAAAAGAGAUAACAUUCAUGUGCUGCCACAUUAAACAGAUUGCAACAGUAUUACUACUGAGUUUGUGUUGACUCUGUGCAACCCUCAUGGUGCCCAGGAACAGAUGAAACCACCAGAGACUUGGAGCCUCAGGUUCAUUCAAUGGCAUCCCAGGGAACGGGGUUGAAGGGCUUACUCCCAGAAGGCCUCUGAAAUGUAAGAGCUAUUAACAAGGAGUUGUAAGUCAUUUUUGGUAGCUAUGGGCCCAGGCAGUGGGUAGGUAGAGAUCAAGAUGGGAGAAAUGGUAAGAUCAGUAGAGUAUUGUUCAGAUAAAUAUGUAAGCUGUUUUAUUGGCACACUGUAUCUGGUGAUAUUAACAUGAUAAGCUAUAGUCUGGAUACCAAUUUCUCAUCAGAUUGGAGAAAUAUAUUUAUAGCCUAUUUCCUGUUAUAUAAUGAAAAGCUACUAAUGGGGUAGUAGACAAUGAUAUGGGUAAUAGCUUAAACAGCCUUCGUUGUCACUUACCUGAAUUCAGGAAUGACAGGUUUCUUUCAUGCAUGAGGUACUGGAUACAUUAAACACACACACAUACAGAUAUAGCAGAGUUCUAGUCAUAUCCUAAAGAAAAACCAUGGUGCGCUAUGUUAUAGUGUGUGAGUGACUCUGUGUGUGUAUGUGUGUUGGUGGAGGUCAGGGAUGACUUGUUUGUAAUAUACCUUAAGGAAGUCUGUCUGAAUUUGCCCUUUAAAUACUAAAUUAAUUCACCUCUUACCUCAAACUGCCUUUCAGUUCCCUUUUACUAAUUCUGUUUAAAAGAAAGGCAAGUGAAGGCCGGGCGUGGUGGCUCACACUUGUAAUCUUAGCACUUCAGGAGAUCAAGGCAGGAGAAUUGCUCAGGAGUUCAAGACCAGCCUGAGCUCAGGAGUUCAAGACCUGAGCUCAGGAGUUCAAGACCAGCCUGGGCAACAUAGGGAGAGCCCCCAUCUCUACAAAGAAAAAAAAGAAGAACCUGGGCAUGUGGUCGCAUACCUGUGGUCCCAGCUGCAUGGGAGGCUGAGGUGGGAGGAUUGCUUGAGCCAGGGAUUGUACCACUGCACUCCAGCCUGGGCAACAGAGCAAGACCCUGUCUCAAAUAAAAAUAAGACAGCUAUUCUACCCUAUUCACUUAAAUAAGCUCAUCUUAUUUUUUGCCUGAAACUCUUGCAAACUCCCAGGACUGCUAGUUUUGAGAUACCUUGGAUCUCAAUAAAGAAUAGUUCUCAAUUGCUUAUGAGUAUAAUGUAUUUCUUUUGGCUUAAAGUUCUACACUGGCAACAAGUAGGGCUAGCAACCCAU
ensembl:lncRNA